rnacentral:rRNA from 1 species
GACGAACGCUGGCGGCGUGCUUAACACAUGCAAGUCGAACGGAAAGGCCCUUCGUGGUACUCGUGUUGCGAACGGGUGCGUAACACUUGGGUGAUCUGCCCUGCACUUUGGGAUAAGCCUGGGUAACUGGGUCUAAUACCGAAUAGGACCACGCGCUUCAUGGUGUUUGGUGGAAAGCUUUUGCGGUGUGGGAUGGGCCCGCGGCCUAUCAGCUUGUUGGUGGGGUAAUGGCCUACCAAGGCGACGACGGGUAGCCGGCCUGAGAGGGUGACCGGCCACACUGGGACUGAGAUACGGCCCAGACUCCUACGGGAGGCAGCAGUGGGGAAUAUUGCACAAUGGGCGCAAGCCUGAUGCAGCGACGCCGCGUGAGGGAUGACGGCCUUCGGGUUGUAAACCUCUUUCAAUAGGGACGAAGCGCAAGUGACGGUAACUAUAGAAGAAGCACCGGCCAACUACGUG